rnacentral:rRNA from 1 species
UACGUAGGGGCCAAGCGUUGUCCGGAUUUAUUGGGCGUAAAGAGCUCGUAGGCGGUUCGGCAGGUCGAAUGUGAAAUCUCCACGCUCAACGUGGAGGGGUCAUUCGAUACUGCCGUGACUUGAGUACGGUAGGGGAGUGUGGAAUUCCCGGUGUAGCGGUGAAAUGCGUAGAUAUCUGGAGGAACACCGGUGGCGAAGGCGGCAUCCUGGACCGAGAUUGACGCUGAGGCGCGAAAGCCAGGGGAGCAAACGGG